rnacentral:rRNA from 1 species
UACAGGGGGGGCAAGCGUUGUUCGGAAUUACUGGGCGUAAAGGGCUCGUAGGCGGCCAACUAAGUCACACGUGAAAUCCCCAGGCUUAACCUGGGAACUGCGUGUGAUACUGGAUGGCUUGAAUCCGGGAGAGGGAUGCGGAAUUCCAGGUGUAGCGGUGAAAUGCGUAGAUAUCUGGAGGAACACCGGUGGCGAAGGCGGCAUCCUGGACCGGUAUUGACGCUGAGGCGCGAAAGCCAGGGGAGCAAACGGG